rnacentral:rRNA from 1 species
GAGUUUGAUCGUGGCUCAGAUUGAACGCUGGCGGCAUGCCUUACACAUGCAAGUCGAACGGCAGCAUGAUCUAGCUUGCUAGAUUGAUGGCGAGUGGCGAACGGGUGAGUAAUACAUCGGAACGUGCCCUGUAGUGGGGGAUAACUAGUCGAAAGAUUAGCUAAUACCGCAUACGACCUGAGGGUGAAAGUGGGGGACCGCAAGGCCUCAUGCUAUAGGAGCGGCCGAUGUCUGAUUAGCUAGUUGGUGGGGUAAAGGCCCACCAAGGCGACGAUCAGUAGCUGGUCUGAGAGGACGAUCAGCCACACUGGGA